rnacentral:lncRNA from 1 species
ACACCCUCCCCCCACCGACCCCUCCCACUGAUCACGCCCCCCACCAACCUCCAGGAAGCACCCUCCCUACACCGACCCCUCCCCCACCAUCGAUCACUCCCCACACACAACGAGCCCUCUCUUCCCCUCGCUGAUCACUCUCGCCCCAACAGAGUUUCUCAUCCCGAUCGAUCCUUCUCCGCGCCCCCCAGCCCCUCAUCCCCGCCAAGGAACAUCCUUCUCCUCCUGACUCUCCUCCCCCGUUACACUCACACACAACCUCCACCCCCUCACUAACCCUUCCCUUCCUCCAUAAACUUCUCCCAUAGAACCCUUCCCCUCUUGAAUCCCUUCCCCUCCACUGAGCCCCCUCUCUCCCCAGCUGAGCCCCCUCCCUGUCCCCGGGGCCCCCUCUCCCCACUCUGUCCCGCUCCUUCACUGAACCCCCUCUCUCCCCAGCUGAGCUCCCUCCCUGUUCCCGGGGUCCCCUCUCCCCCCACUAAGCCCCCUUUCUCCCCAGCUGAGUCCCCUGUCGCCAUGCCCUCCUCCAGGCCCAAGGAGAGGCCCCCGCGCGCCCGGCCGGCCAGCAACUCCCCGUCCCCGGGCGCGCACGGCCGGCACGGCGGCCCUGAGGAGAAGAGCUCGUCGCGCAGCCCGGGCCCGCACCCCCGCUCGUGGAGCUCCAGCCGCUCGCCCUCCAAGUCCCGCUCGCGCUCCGCGGAGAAGAGGGCCCGCAGCCCCAGCCGCUCGCCGUCGCCCAAGAAACCGCCGGGCCGGUGAGUGCGGGCCCGGGUGGCGGCGGGGCCUGGCGGGGGCUCUGGCGCGCGCGGCGGUGGGGCAGGCCGGGGCGCCUCUCUCACCUUGGCCGGGCCCGCAGGGACAAGGACGGCGAGGGCCGCGCGAGGCACGCCGAGGCCGAGGCCGCCCGCGCCCGGCGCCGCUCCCGCAGCUACUCGCCCAUCCGCAAGCGGCGCCGGGACUCGCCCAGCUUCAUGGAGCCGCGGCGCAUCACCAGGUCCAGCCUGCCGAGUAGCCUGUGGCCAGCCUGGGGGCCAGGUGGACCCCCUCUCCACAGGCUGCAGGGGAGAUGCCCAUUGCCCGGAAGCGUCCCAUCCCCUACUACCGGCCCAGCCCCUCAUCCUCCUCCAGCUGCCUGAGCAGCGACUACUCAAGCCGCAGCCCCAGCCGCAGCCCCAGCCCCGGCCACAGCCACAGCCACGGAAGCUACAGCAGCCGCAGUCGUGGGACCCGCAGCCGCACUCGCAGCCCCUCCCGGACCCCCAGUCCCAGCUACCACAGCCGGAGCAGCUCAGAGAGCGGGGGCUUCUGAGCCCAGACACACACAGCUUGGUGCCCCCUGGCACAUGGAGAGGCGAGGAGUCAGGCCCCAGGACCGAGAGGGGCCUGCUCCCCACUGCUACAAAGAGGUCCCAGGGCCAGGGAAGACCUUGAGGGUGGGUGCCCUGCAGACAAAGAGGAGCUGAGUUCUGCUGCUUCUAGAGGGUCCCCACCCCCACCUCCUGCCUGCCCACCGUGUCCAGGGAACAAAGAGCCGUUACGAACACAGGGAUCCCCUGUCCCCGCUGCCUGCUUGAUGCCAGCUCACCAGGCCAGAGACCUCAGCUCAGUGGACCCAGGGACGCCUCUGAAGGUGCCAGACCUGGGAGCCUCCCAUACCCACUCCACAGGGUCCUCGGCUCCUCUCUGUCAUUGGGCAGACAAGGAGGUAGGACAGCAAGCGGGAUCUAAGUUAGACGGAAAGAAGAAUGGCCUAACCCUUGGUGCACCACCAUCCAGGCUGGGGAGCUGCUUCCUUCUGAGCUGGCCGCAGGAGGACCCUGGCUGAGGGCUGGAGGCUGGUCGCACAGCCUCCCCUGGCCCAGGAGUACCCAGACUAGGUGGGCCCCUAAACCCCAGCCUGAAGGAUCAGGGAGCUCCCUCUUGGUCCCACCUCUCCUCUCCAGGCCAGGCUCUCCCCUCCAGCCCUCACCCCAUGCGCUGGGCCAAGGCCACACCAGCCUGGCCUUCUGCGUGAUACGAGGUGGAACACACAGACCACAACUGCAUCUGACCCUGAGAUCAAAAGGGGUUCAGGUCAGGAGGUGGAAGAGAGGAGGGGCAGAGGAGCCUGUGAGGAGAGGGAAAGCAAUGUAGUCUGAUGACCCAGCAGGCCCCGGUGUCCCCGCGUCUGGGUCGUGGGCCAGAUGGCAGGACAGGGUCACAGGCAUAGGAUAAUGUGUGCUUCAGGGCGUGCCCAAGGGAGCACUUCCUCCUCGGGGUUUGGUGGGGAGGUGGCCAGCCAAGGCUUCCCAGGGAGGGGUGCUACAGCCCUUCGGAGAAAGGGUAGGAUCUAGACUGAGGGCCUUGGCCUGGGACAUCAACAGGGAAGCAGUGGCCCUAGCCCUCUUCUGCUGCUCCCAGCCCCCUCCUCCCGGGGCCCUCAGGGAUCUCACGAAGUCUUCCUUGGCCCUACGGGGCAGAUGCCCUGGGCUCCGGUGGGGGGAGGGGUCUGGGGUCUUGUCCGGGUUCCUUUCUCUAUCUCCCCCUCCCUCUUUCUCCGCGGUGCGGAUAAAAAUUGGACUCCAAUAAAAUACUCGGUGCCCGGAUGGCA